CUUUUUAGGAUAGUGUUUACCCUCUAAAUGCUUCUUUCCUUGCCUGUGGACAGUCAACAUGUCAACUGUGUCAAACACUGGACGAUACGAACACACAAGACACGUGUACCUGUGCAGAGCAAACGGAGAAAGGAAUUAUGGGCCGUUCCCCACCCUGUGCAACGUGGUCGGAGCGGACUAAAAAUGGUGCAGCCCGGGGGGCCCUGCAGACGGGAGAGAGGGCACAGUGGGCACUUCAGUCCACGGCCCUGGUGGGGCGCACCUCCGGCGGGGGGCAGCAACAAGGGGCACAUCCCACAAGGGGAUCCCAUCUAGUCUAUCAGAAGGACUGGAGAUGAAUCCGUGCAACACCAGGAUUUCUCCUGCUCAGUUUGACCUGAGGACUUCUCACCAUUGAGACUGACUAUGAUAUUGAUUCAAACAUAAACAGUUUUUAUUCUCUUACCACAAUGAAAGAGUUCUUUGAUGCGGUUUUCUCUGAUAUGAACAAUAGUGAGCACAUCCAUUUAAACAUUUACUUGUUCAGAUAUUUAUAUUUAAAGAAA